CACCGGAGCAUAAUGAUGGCUCCUGGCAGAGAGUGAGACUACCAGAGCUGCCCAUCGAUGAUUGCUGGGUCCAUUCCCUAAUCCAGCCCUCCUCUGCACCAUAACCUCUCUCUCCAACAAUCUCAUUUCCCCACAGGGCUCCCCUUUACUGUAUCUGGCAAAGCCCCAUCUGGUGAAAGACCGUGUCUCUUCCUCAGACUCCACUUGCACCUCAGCAGCAGGCUGUUGUCAAAAUAACACCGGAGACUAUACUGAUGGGCUUCCUUCAAAUACGCGAUCGGAUCAGAAACUCCUGUGGGCUCACCAGAUGUCAGGAGCGAUGGGACACCAGAGGCGGAAGAACCUAUGUCCCCAGGCUACAGCAAAGCUCCCAGCCCUAUGAAAAUCAUCUAGCCUGCUCUGAGCCACAUGCCUAGAGGUCACAGAGGCAUGCGGGAAAGUGAGAGGAAGUGGAAACGUGCUACAAAAAGGGCUCAAAGCAAUGUGCUCACCACCGGAAAAAAAAAUAAAAAUAA
rnacentral:lncRNA from 1 species